UCAGACGAUGCGUCAUGCAUAUCAAUAAGCGGAGGAAAAGAAACUAACAAGGAUUCCCUUAGUAACGGCGAGUGAAGCGGGAAGAGCUCAAAUUUGAAAUCUUCAAGGUUUUACCUUGACGAAUUGUAGUUUAAAGAAGUGUUUUCUGCUGAAGUUUUGGUAAAAGUUCUUUGGAAUAGGACAUCAUAGAGGGUGAGAAUCCCGUAUUUGACCAUUAUUUUCAGCUUCGUGAUACACUUUCAAAGAGUCGGAUUGUUUGGGAAUGCAGUCCAAAAUGGGUGGUAAAUUUCAUCUAAAGCUAAAUAUUGGCGAGAGACCGAUAGCGAACAAGUACCGUGAGGGAAAGAUGAAAAGAACUUUGAAAAGAGAGUUAAACAGUACGUGAAAUUGUCAAAAGGGAAGCGUUUGACACCAGUGUUGUUUUCUCGAAAAUCAAUUAAAAAUGGCUCGAUUUUGUAUUGCUGAGACCUUAAAAGCUCACUGUACAUUUUUCGUGUCUUUUUUAAUGCACUUUUCGUUUAACAAGUCAACAUCAGUUUCUUUUGUUGUAAAAGGGUCAUUGGAAGGUGGCUUUCUUUUCGGAGAAAGUGUUUAUAGCCUCUUGGCCUAUGCAAUCGGAGAGAUUGAGGUCUGCAGCGUAGAUCCUUCGGGGCUAAAUGCAUUUGUGCUAAGUUAUAGCAUUUUAUAGACAACUUGUUGACUAUGAUUUGUCUUGUAGCUUACUCGCUUAUGUUAUUUUACCUACGCUUAGGAUGUUGACUGAUAUGUAGUCGUA
rnacentral:rRNA from 1 species